rnacentral:rRNA from 1 species
AGUGAACGCUGGCGGUAGGCCUAACACAUGCAAGUCGAACGGCAGCACAGUAAGAGCUUGCUCUUACGGGUGGCGCGUGGCGGACGGGUGAGGAAUACAUCGGAAUCUACUUUUUCGUGGGGGAUAACGUAGGGAAACUUACGCUAAUACCGCAUACGACCUACGGGUGAAAGCAGGGGAUCUUCGGACCUUGCGCGAUUGAAUGCGCCGAUGUCGGAUUAGCGAGUUGGCGGGGUAAAGGCCCACCAAGGCGACGAUCCGUAGCAGGUCUGAGAGGAUGAUCAGCCACACUGGAACGGAGACACGGUCCAGACUCCUACGGGAGGCAGCAGUGGGGAAUAUUGGACAAUGGGCGCAAGCCUGAUCCAGCCAUACCGCGUGGGUGAAGAAGGCCUUCGGGUUGUAAAGCCCUUUUGUUGGGAAAGAAAAGCAGCAGGUUAAUACCCCGCUGUUCUGACGGUACCCAAAGAAUAAGCACCGGCUAACUUCGUG